rnacentral:lncRNA from 1 species
AUGAUGAGCAGAUUUGCUUCAAAAGCACACUAUCCGUCCGAAGAAACCAUGCGGAGAAGGUGUAAUCCAGAGUUGUCGUAUACAUCUUGCUCCAUGAGUCAUGCUAAGUUCCCUUCGAGGGGAGUGCUUUGUUUCCCAAAGUUAUUGAGGUGCUACUUCUCAGAAGACCAAAGAAGAGCAAUGGAUUCCAAAAUACAGCUACAAAAGAGCAUAAAAACAGGAAGAUGCAAAGUUGGAUUAUAGCUGAUGUCAGUCACCUGUCUUAGCUGUCCUUUAGUGGUACUUAUGGCAGGUUAGAUCCUAAAGGAUUUCUUGGCUUCAACUGCCCAGGGGACCAGCAUGCUGACUUUCCAUGUGGGCUAUCUUCCCUCCCAUAGACCCGUGCCUCGCAUAUGUGGAUUCUGUAACUGAAAUUGCACUUAAUAAUAACACAUGUCUCAAAAUCCCUUUAUUUCUGACUUCAGGAACCUUGUACUGCAGCCUUGGUUUAGCAGGUCUCUAGGCUCGAUUCUUUAUCUUGCAGAAAAGCUGUGGACUUGAUCUAUCUUCCUUAUCAGCUUCCUAGGUGUAUGGUUCUGCUCAGGGAACAAGAACUAGCUCUGCAGUUCUCUAGUUGUCCAGUACCCUCCAGUAUUCUCCAGUUG